rnacentral:rRNA from 1 species
AUGAGGAUGAAGACGCUGGCCUGCUGCCGGCGGCGGCCGCAGGACUUCAGCGUCGACAUGGACCAAGAGCCGGAAAAGGUGACGACAUACAAUGGCCUCGAGAGCUGCAUUUUCAAUAGUUCCUCAUAUGAUGAGGAUAGUGGCGUUAGUGCAACAACAGGGGCGGAUGGCUGUGUCACCGCUGAUUCCCUUGAAGAUGAAGCUUCAAGUUGCUCCUCCAGCAAAGAUGUUGAUGGCUCUUCCUUCUCUUCCCAAUGCCUUCCAUUGAGCAAGCAGGAGGAGCAUUCACUUUAUGAGUUGGAUACGCUCGAUGCUAUCCAUCUACUCCCUGUCAAAGGGAAGAACCCAAUCACAUAUACGUUGAGUGCUGCUGAUAUCGAAAUCAUGAAGGAGAAGUUUGCAAAGCUACUGCUUGGUGAUGACGUUUCUGGAGGUGCCAGAGGAGUUUGCGCUGCUCUGGCCUUGUCCAAUGGCAUAACCAAUCUCUCAGCCACUAUUUUUGGAGAGCUGUGGAAGUUGGAACCAUUGUGUGAGGAAAAAAAGAUCAGGUGGCGGAAGGAAAUGGACUGGUUGCUUUCUCCUACGACCUACAUGGUCGAGCUGGUACCCACAAAGCAAAAUGGAGCAGAUGGGUGCAUGUUUGAGAUUAUGACCCCGAAGGCCCGUUCAGACGUUCAUGUGAACCUUCCUGCUCUACAGAAGCUUGAUUCCAUGCUAAUUGAAGUUCUGGACUCAAUGGUGGACACGGAGUAUUGGUACGUGGAGAGUGGCAGCCGAUCAGGUGGCCAGGGCAAAAAUAAUGGUGAAAGACAGACCAAAAAGUGGUGGCUUCCAUCCCCUUGUGUCCCUGAACAAGGGCUAUCUCAGUUUCAGCGAAAAAGGAUUGUGUUUCAGGCUAAACUUGUUCAUCAAAUCCUCAAAGCUGCCAAGUCUAUCAACGAACAAGUCCUGCUUCAGAUCCCUAUUCCCAUGGCUGUUAUGGACGCCCUUCCAAAGUCUGGCAGAUCUAGCUUGGGGGAAGACCUGUACCAUGCCAUAACCACGGACUAUAUUCCCAUCGAAGAAAUCUUUGUUUCUCUGAGUCUGAAAACCGAGCAUAGCGUGCUGGAGACCAUGAACCGGUUAGAAGGUGCACUGUUUGCAUGGAACCAAAGGAUCUCAGAGGAGAGAAGCAGGAGGUCCCCUGCACGGCAUUCGUGGAAGUUCAUGAAGGACAGCUCGUCGGAGCUGGAGAAGAUGUCGGCGUGCAUCGAAAGGGUCGAGACCCUCAUCCAGCUCUUGAAGUCCAGAUUCCCCAACCUGCCUCCGACGUUCAUCGACGUUGUGAAGGUCCAGUAUAACGAGGACGUGGGGCACGCCAUCGUGGAGGCCUACUCGAGGGUUCUUGUGGGGGUGGCGUUCAGCAUACUGUCUCGGGUGGCGGAGAUCAUGCUGGAGGACGACCUGGUGAAGAAGCCCAACACGCCCAUGGCCUCCCUCAAGUUCGACCUCUCCUCCGACGUGUACCUGGCGGGCAUCACGGAGACGCCGCCCGGCCACAUCCGGCGGUCCCUCAUGGACCAGAUCAGCAUGGUCGACGGCCGCUUCGACGCCGUCGUCAAGAAGAGAGGGGCCAAGCAGCUCAUGUGGUGA